CCUCAUCCUCUGAGACGAUCACCAUGUUCGCUGUGAAAGCAGUUUGCCUCAUCGCCACCGUCGCUAUGCUUGUUGCAAUGGUGGCAGCGGGCGCUCCGGAUUGGAGAAUGUGCACAAUAAUCCCUCAUAGGUGUAUAAACGUGUAAAGAUGCAGAGGUGUCAAGCAUCCACUGAACCGUCUAAUUAUUAAAACACUGUGUAAUUAAACUUUAAUAAACUUUAAUAAAGCAGUCAUGCAUACCUGA